CCUGCAGGAAAGGACAUCAACCGAGACUCCGCAAGUAGUGGCGAGCGAACGCGGACCAGGCCAGUGGCAAUGAGGAAUAAAGUGGAAGGAUCUGGAAAGGUCCGCCGUAGCGGGUGACAGCCCCGUACACGUAGAACACUCAUUGUCCUUGAGUAAGGCGGGACACGAGAAAUCCUGUCUGAACAUGGGGAGACCACUCUCCAAGCCUAAGUACUCGUGCAUGACCGAUAGCGAACAAGUACCGUGAGGGAAAGGUGAAAAGCACCCCGACAAGGGGAGUGAAAUAGAACCUGAAACCGGAUGCCUACAAACAGUCGGAGCCCGCCCUCCAAAUUCCUUGGAGGGGCGUUUCGAAUAUCUCGUCGUUUACGGCGGGAAUUUGGAAGACUUUAAAGUGACCCCAAAUGCCAAGGCAUUUGGUGGGUGGGUGACGGCGUACCUUUUGUAUAAUGGGUCAACGACUUAGUGUGACAUGCAAGCUUAAGCCGGUAGGUGGAGGCGUAGCGAAAGCGAGUCUGAACAGGGCGCCUUAGUAUGUCGCAUUAGACCCGAAACCGAGUGAUCUAGCCAUGAGCAGGUUGAAGGUUGGGUAACACCAACUGGAGGACCGAACCCGCAUCUGUUGCAAUAGAUUGGGAUGACUUGUGGCUAGGGGUGAAAGGCCAAUCAAACUCGGAAAUAGCUGGUUCUCCGCGAAAUCUAUUUAGGUAGAGCGUCGACCGAAUACCCCCGGGGGUAGAGCACUGGAUGGGCUAUGGGGACUCACCGUCUUACUGAUCCUAACCAAACUCCGAAUACCGGGGAGUACUAGUCGGCAGACACACGGCGGGUGCUAACGUCCGUCGUGAAAAGGGCAACAACCCUGACCUCCAGCUAAGGUCCCCAAGUCAUGGCUAAGUGGGAAAGGAUGUGAGGAUCCCAAAACAACCAGGAUGUUGGCUUAGAAGCAGCCAUCAUUUAAAGAAAGCGUAACAGCUCACUGGUCUAAAUAAGGGUCUUUGCGCCGAAAAUGUAACGGGGCUGAAGCCAUGCACCGAAGCUGAGGAUUUGCCUUACGGCAAGUGGUAGCGGAGCGUUCCGUAAGCCUGUGAAGGGAUACCCGUGAGGGGUCCUGGAGGUAUCGGAAGUGCGAAUGUUGACAUGAGUAACGAUAAAGAGGGUGAGAGACCCUCUCGCCGAAAGACCAAGGGUUCCUGCUUAAAGUUAAUCUGAGCAGGGUUAGCCGGCCCCUAAGACGAGGCGGACACGCGUAGUCGAUGGGAACCACGUUAAUAUUCGUGGGCCUGGUGGUAGUGACGGAUCGCUUAACUUGUCCGGACUUAUUGGAUUGUCCGGGCGGGGACGCGGUUCCAGGAAAUAGCUCCACCGUAUAGACCGUACCCGAAACCGACACAGGUGGUCAGGUAGAGUAUACCAAGGCGCUUGAGAGAACUAUGUUGAAGGAACUCGGCAAAUUGCACGCGUAACUUCGGAAGAAGCGUGACCUCAUGAUGGGCAACCAUUGUGGGGUGGCACAGACCAGGGGGUAGCGACUGUUUAUCAAAAACACAGGGCUCUGCGAAGUCGCAAGACGACGUAUAGGGUCUGACGCCUGCCCGGUGCUGGAAGGUUAAGAGGAGGGGUGCAAGCUCUGAAUCGAAGCCCCAGUAAACGGCGGCCGUAACUAUAACGGUCCUAAGGUAGCGAAAUUCCUUGUCGGGUAAGUUCCGACCUGCACGAAUGGCGUAACGACUUCCCCGCUGUCUCCAACAUAGACUCAGUGAAAUUGAAUUCCCCGUGAAGAUGCGGGGUUCCUGCGGUCAGACGGAAAGACCCCGUGCACCUUUACUAUAGCUUUACACUGGCAUUCGUGUCGGCAUGUGUAGGAUAGGUGGUAGGCUUUGAAGCGGGGACGCCAGUUCUCGUGGAGCCAUCCUUGAAAUACCACCCUUAUCGUCAUGGAUGUCUAACCGCGGUCCGUCAUCCGGAUCCGGGACAGUGUAU
rnacentral:rRNA from 1 species